GGGAUUAAAGAUAUGUGCCUCUAAGCUCAGAGAGGAGACAGGAAGAAAGAAAUAGAGAAGAAAGAAGUGGGCAGAGAAGGAAUGGCAAAGAAAGGUGCGAAAAAUGGCCGAUACCCAACCAAGAUGAUCAUGGGCUGGAAGACAGAGUAGAAGCUGUGGUGGAUUACGAGAAGAGAUUGUGACUAAGUGAAUGUGGCCCUAUCACACAAAGGAGCAGAUUAAUAAGUCCAUCGAGAGAAACCCAGGAAGGAUCUGAGCCCUGAUCAGCACUGGGCAUUCACUGAGCCUGAAACAGCAGAAAGGGAGGAAACACGCCGGGAGCAGAAAGAAGCACACAGACCUCGCAGCAACGGGCCUGACUUGUAGCUGUGUUUAAGUGUGUGCAUGUCUUAUCGCCCGGGCACCUGUCCAUCCAUCCAUUCAUUCGCCCAACACCGAACUAUCCACCCACUUAUCUCCCUUGCAUCCACUCAUUCACCACUAGCUUCCACCCACUGAUUACUCUCUCAUCCACCACCUCUCCCACCCAUCCAUCCACCCACCCACC
rnacentral:lncRNA from 1 species